UUUCUAGAUAACAAACGGUUCUUGGGGGCAUAUAUAAAUUUAUCAGAUCAAGAAAUUUUUUUCAGAGUAAGUUCAUAAAGCAAUUCGUUCAGGAGAGUUUCCAUGUGAAGUAGAUGAUCUAUUUCUCUUCUUUUCAACUGAGUACAUCAGAUUUCUGACAACGUUCAAGCAAUUGGGUAGUGUAUGGAGAUGAUUUUCUUAGUCUAGAUCUAUGGCAAAAUACAUUUUGAGAUAACUUAUUCUGUUGGAAUUAUAUAAUGAUUAUUGAAACACAAUCUAUGAGUUAGCUUUUGCGUUAAAAUUCUAUGUUUAUAGACAUUUGUCGAGUUUUCUCAUUCAAGGUAAGAUUUUUCUCUUAUCGUAGAGAGAGGGACUCUGUAGGUUUUUGUUCGAAAUGAACUGAAUUAAAUGUUAUAAUACUUGGAAUCUUCAUAAUUAGGCUUAUUUUCAAUUCCAUAUAACAGAUUUUGGCCAAUUUUCAAGCUUUUUGAUUAGUGUACAAGGAUUAUUCUAUUC